rnacentral:rRNA from 1 species
UGCCAGCCGCCGCGGUAAUACGUAAGGGGCAAGCGUUACCCGGAAUUAUUGGGCGUAAAGCGUCCGCAGGUGGAAUGUUAAGUCUGUUAUUAAAUCUCGGUGCUCAACAUCGAGGCUGUAAUGGAAACUGGCAAUCCAGAGGAUGGUAGAGGUCUGUGGAAUAGUGCAAGUAGGGGUAAAAUCCGUAGAUAUGCACUGGAACACCAAAAGCGAAGGCAGCAGACUGGGCCACUCCUGACACUCAGGGACGAAAGCGUGGGGAGCAAAAGGGAUUAGAUA